rnacentral:rRNA from 1 species
CCUACGGGUGACUGCAGUGGGGAAUAUUGGACAAUGUGGGCAACCCUGAUCCAGCCAUGCCGCGUGUGUGAAGAAGGCCCUCGGGUUGUAAAGCACUUUCAGUGAGGAAGAACGCCUGGUGGUUAAUACCCAUCAGGAAAGACAUCACUCACAGAAGAAGCACCGGCUAACUCCGUGCCAGCAGCCGCGGUAAUACGGAGGGUGCGAGCGUUAAUCGGAAUUACUGGGCGUAAAGCGCGCGUAGGUGGCUUGAUAAGCCGGUUGUGAAAGCCCCGGGCUCAACCUGGGAACGGCAUCCGGAACUGUCAAGCUAGAGUGCAGGAGAGGAAGGUAGAAUUCCCGGUGUAGCGGUGAAAUGCGUAGAGAUCGGGAGGAAUACCAGUGGCGAAGGCGGCCUUCUGGACUGACACUGACACUGAGGUGCGAAAGCGUGGGUAGCAAACAGGAUUAGAUACCCGUGUAGUC